AUGGAAGCAUUAACAAAGCUAGGGAGCUCUCUUCCUGUGCCUUGUGUUCAGGAGCUUGCAAAACAGCCAUUAACUACAGUCCCACAGCGAUAUGUUCGCCCUGAUCAAGAUCCUUCCUUCAUUUCUGAGAUGGCUACUUCUCUACCCGUACCCCAAGUACCAGUGAUCGACAUGAACAAGUUACUUUCAGAUGAAACCAUGCCAGCAGAGCUGCAGAAGUUCCACCUUGCUUGCGGACAAUGGGGUUUCUUCCAGUUGAUAAACCAUGGAGUUGGUGAACCUUUGUUGGAGAGUGUGAAGUCGGGGAUCAAAGAGUUCUUCAGUCUCCCAAUGGAAGAGAAGAAACAGUUUUGGCAGCAGCCAGAAGAUAUGGAGGGUUUUGGACAAGCAUUUGUUGUGUCUGAGAACCAGAAACUUAAUUGGUCAGACAUGUUCUUUUUGAUCUCACUCCCAAAACAUUUCAGGAAGCCACAUUUAUUCCCCAAGCUUCCUCAACAAUUAAGAGAUGACCUAGAAGUGUACUCAGCGGAACUAGAAGAUCUUGCCAAGAAGAUUCUUGACCUCAUGGCAAAAGCACUGGGAGUGGAAGCUAAUUAUAUGAGAGAGUUGUUUGACCAAGGGACUCAAAUCUUUAGGAUGAACUAUUAUCCACCAUGUAAGCAACCAGAGCUUGUCAUUGGCCUUAACCCUCACUCAGAUCCUGUUGGAUUGACCAUCCUCCUCCAAGUGAAUGAAAUGGAAGGUCUUCAGGUUAGGAAAGAUGGAAGGUGGACUCCGAUUAAACCCCUAAACAAUGCUUUCAUCGUCAACGUCGGAGAUAUUUUGGAGAUUGUGACGAAUGGAAUUUACCGUAGCAUUGAGCAUCGGGCUACGGUGAACCAGGAGAAGGAGAGGCUGUCGAUAGCUACUUUUUACAGUCCAAACUUGGGAGGAGACCUGGGUCCUGCUCCGAGCCUUAUUACUCCAGAGAGACCAGCAUUGUUCAAGAGAAUGUAGGUGUUGCAGACUACAGGGGAAUUUUUGCCCGCAAACUCGAUGGGAAGUAAUACAUAGAUCGAUGUCAUGAGGGUUCAACAUGGAUCGGUGGAGGGCAGGAAUAGGUUCAACAUCAUCGGAAAGAAUGACAGGAUUGGAAUCGGGAAUAGGAGGAUUGGGAAUUGGAGGGACGAUAGCUUGUGGCUGGAAAAUCACGGGUUCAACGUCGACGCCGUGAGAGACGCCGUCUCCCUGAAAGACGUCGUCGCUGUGAUGGUCGCCGGCGAUAGCUGUUGGGACUGGAGGGCGGUGAAUAGAGGUUCUGAAAUCGGAUGGAAGGAGCUGAUUGGGUGGUGUAGAGGGCGGCGGAUCGUGUGGUGGAGAGGGCAACGGAUUGGGAGAUUCCUAGUGGACAACACACCCAUAAGAGUGUUCAACAAUGAGGAAGCAAUUGGAGUUGGCUUCCCCAAGAAGCAACCCAUGAAGCUCUACUCGAGUCUAUGGAACGUGGACCAGUGGGCAACAAGAGGCGGGCUAAUCAAAACCUACUGGUCCAAAGCUCCAUUCCCAGCAUACUACAAAGGCUUCAAUGCCAAUGCCUGUGUUUUGGUCUCGGGGUUCUUCAUCGUGUGCCAGCGGUCGAAAAUGCAAAUGGUGAGAUUAAUCAUCAAGAAGAACUUUGUCUCUGAGUUUGGAGCAAUGGAAGCAUUAACAAAGCUAGGGAGCUCUCUUCCUGUGCCUUGUGUUCAGGAGCUUGCAAAACAGUCAUUAACUACAGUCCCACAGCGAUAUGUUCGCCCUGAUCAAGAUCCUUCCUUCAUUUCUGAGAUGGCUACUUCUCUACCCCAAGUACCAGUAAUCGACAUGAACAAGUUACUUUCAGAUGAAACCAUGCCAGCAGAACUGAAGAAGUUCCACCUUGCUUGCGGACAAUGGGGUUUCUUCCAGUUGAUAAACCAUGGAGUUGGUGAACCUUUGUUGGAGAGUGUGAAGUCGGGGAUCAAAGAGUUCUUCAGUCUCCCAAUGGAAGAGAAGAAACAGUUUUGGCAGCAGCCAGAAGAUAUGGAGGGUUUUGGACAAGCAUUUGUUGUGUCUGAGAACCAGAAACUUGAUUGGGCAGACAUGUUCUAUUUGAUCUCACUCCCAAAACAUUUCAGGAAGCCACAUUUAUUCCCCAAGCUUCCUCAACAAUUAAGAGAUGACCUAGAAGUGUACUAAGCGGAACUAGAAGAUCUUGCCAAGAAGAUUCUUAACCUCAUGGCAAAAGCACUGGGAGUGGAAGCUAACUAUAUGAGAGAGUUGUUUGACCAAGGGACUCAAAUGUUUAGGAUGAACUAUUAUCCACCAUGUAAGCAACCAGAGCUCGUCAUUGGCCUUAACCCUCACUCAGAUCCUGUUGGAUUGACCAUCCUCCUCCAAGUGAAUGAAAUGGAAGGUCUUCAGGUUAGGAAAGAUGGAAGGUGGACUCCGAUUAAACCCCUAAACAAUCCUUUCAUCGUCAACGUCGGAGAUAUUUUGGAGAUUGUGACGAAUGGAAUUUACCGUAGCAUUGAGCAUCGGGCUACGGUGAACCAGGAGAAGGAGAGGCUGUCGAUAGCUACUUUUUACAGUCCAAACUUGGGAGGAGACCUGGGUCCUGCUCCGAGCCUCAUUACUCCGGAGACACCAGCAUUGUUCAAGAGAAUAGGUGUUGCAGACUACUUCAGGGGAAUUUUUGCCCGCAAACUCGAGGGGAAGUCGUACAUAGAUGUCAUGAGGAUUCAACAUGGUGAUGAGGAUGGCAAUGGCUCCCAAGACUAG